AAUACACAAGAUGGUCAAAAAGAAAAUGUUCAAAUCUAAAAUAAUGUACAGAUAUGUAUCCAGCUUGUCUGCACUUUCUAUAAAACAUUUAAUGAAAAAAAAUAUAUAUAAUAAUAAUAAUCUAAAUUUGAUUGUAUUAGUUUUGUGAUCGUUAGGCGCUAAAAUCAAUGCGAUCAAAAUUCAAUUAAUCGCCUAGCCCUAACGCGUAGAGUAGUAGUUGUGGUUAGAGCUGUUCCGAUUCCGAUACCACGAUCGAAAAAUUCCUCCGAUAACGCCUACAAAUCGGGUAUCGGUGAGCGCGCAAGUCUAUACCCCGAUCCGAUACCACACAUAUCACAUGACAUGAGCCCCUCUACUGCAGAGGCAGAGAACAUCACAAACACUACGGGGUCGAGCUGCGUUCUUUCCCAGUCGGAGGUGGACAGUCGAAACGGGAAACGAGUCAUCUCCGACCUACUUAUGUUCGAGCUACCAAGUCGGAAAAACACUGAUGCUCACGCUUUACUACAAGAAUACAAAUUUAUUCGUAUCAAUCAUAGAUUAUAAAAAUAAACGGUAUUAAAAAAAAUGGUAUCGGAACAUCUCUAGUCGUGGUGAGGGGGGUGACCCCCAGCCCAGAUGUCCUGGGUUCAAACCCCCAGGUCCCUGCCCUACCUGUAGGCUGGAGGGCUCUGGGUUCAAACCCCCAGGUCCCUGCCCUACCUGUAGGCUGGAGGGCUCUGGGUUCAAACCCCCAGGUCCCUGCCCUACCUGUAGGCUGGAGGGCUCUGGGUUCAAACCCCCAUGUCCUGUAGCCUCUUCCUUCGAGAGGCCUAAUCCCCCACUAAGGACAUUAGGUCAAUCCCCUUUUGGUUUUAUUUAAAGGGGUAGUUCUGAAUUGUGGACAUAGAGCCUGAUUGCCGAGUUAGCCCUGGUGUUCUUUAUCAUUGGAGACAUUUGCUCGUGCUAGGCUAACGCACGGCAACGGGCAAUACUAGCCUGCUGAUAAAACAGUCUUACCCAUUCCACAGUACACCCGAGGAAAAUCAACUAUAGAGCCAACUAUAACGGUGGAUGUAAAUGUCUGUGUUGUGUUGAUAGAAUAAUGUUAGAAAUAAAACCAACCUUGCGUUGCAUUUUGGGGGACUUGCUAUGUCUCAGCAGCAGUGUUAUAUUCCUGGUAGUAGGCUACGGCAGCGGCGGACUGAUACCUAGGUUAAAUUCCGCUGCUGCUGAGAAAGUAGUCCCUCAAAAUGCGAUGAUUCAUGCGAUGCAAGGUUAGUCUUUUUUCUAACAUUAUUCUAUCAACACAGACAUUUACAUCUACAGUCUUGCGUUAUGAUGAUUUGCCUCGGGUGUACUGUGGAGUGGGUAAGACUGUUUUAUCAGCAGGCUAGUAUUCCCCGUUGCCGUGCGUUAGCCUAGCACGAGCGAACUCUGCAACUAGAAGGUCUGAGUAGCUGCGUUUCCAUCUAAAAGGUGAUGUGAAUCUUUAGAAAGUUCGCAAAAAAGUAAUUUGAAUUAGGGUGAUGACGUUACACGUUGAUGUCGGCAGGGUCGCUAUGGCCGGUCGUUAUGCGGAAAUCGGAAAGACUGUCAGUCCUGUGUGUUCAAAGUUCGCUACGUCACAGCUGAUUCGCAAAAUGUGUUUCCAUCUCCCAUUUUGCGAAUUUACUCUGUUUCGCAUUUCUCAAAAACCACCUCAAGCGAGCGGAUAAACUUUUUUGCGAAUUAGAGGAUUUCGAUGCAAAUGUUGGUGUUUCCAUCACCGUUUACUGAUUCGAUACUUCAAAGUUCGCAUUAAAUUAGGGGGAUGGAAACGCACCUGAUGAAAUGUGUUCAACUGUCUCCAAUGAUAAAGAACACCAAGGCUUACUUGGCAAUCAGGCACUAUGUCCAAAAUUCCGAACUACCCCUUUUAUUUCUUCAGGGUCGUUAGCCUCAUUUCUACCAUACUUCCUGUUUUGAUUCACCAGACUUCCUGUUUUUAUCCAGACAGUAACAAGCCGCGAUAUCGGGGCCUCAUUUCAAAUGUUACACCAAUAUCGCUGCUUGUUACCAUCGGUUACAAACAAAGAGCAAGUCCACAACUAAUCUGUCUGUCUGUCUGUCUGUCUGUCUCUCUGUCUGUCUGUCUGUCUGUCUGCCCUUCUGUCUGUCUGCCCGUCUGUCUGUCUGUCUGUCUGUCCGUCCGUCCGUCCGUCUGUCUGUCUGUCUGUCUGUCUGUCUGCCCGUCCGUCUGUCUGCCCGUCCGUCUGUCUGCCCGUCCGUCUGUCUGCCCGUCCGUCUGUCUGCCCGUCCGUCUGUCUGCCCGUCCGUCUGUCUGCCCGUCUGUCCGUCCGUCUGUCUGUCCGUCUGUCUGUCCGCCUGUCUGUCCGUCUGUCUGUCCGUCUGUCUGUCUGUCUGUCUGUCUGUCUGUCUGUCUGUCGGUCGA